CUGCUGGCAUGUUUGCAAAAUAGCACAAGGUGCUGUAAAAUGAAGAUAUAUUGUUAAAUAUCAUGAGAUAGAAAUAAAAGAUGAAGAUCUAGCUGUACCCGUCCCGAGCCACACUACUGCAGCCACGUUGCUGCUGGCAUUUUUGCAAAAUAGCACAAGGUCACAACAAUUGAUGUAACAAAUAUAAUCAAUGGACCAGGCACCUGCACCAUGAUUCUUUGGAAUACUAAAAUUCUUUAUGUCUGUACUUCUCA
rnacentral:lncRNA from 1 species